UUUGUUUCGCUUGAAAGAAAACAAGGAAAAAUCAUCAAUUUUAGAAUCUGAGAUUCAUAAAUUGGUUUGGAUAUUUGAAAUGAAGUUGUAUGUACCAUCAAAGCUUAAAUCCUUGUGUUAUUAAAUUCUGUAAAUAUGUGGGUGUUUGAAUUUGUAGGGGCUCAGACGUCACAAUGGAGAGGAAGGCUCGUGAAAGUAACAGUGAGUUCGAGGACGAUGGUGAUUCAACAGCAAUGAGCUGAAUAUGAAGCAGGAAGAGGAUGAAUUUGAUGAUGAGCACGAUGGCGAGGAGGAGGAAGAAGAAUCAGAAAAUUAGGAAGAAGAUGGAGGAGAAGUUGGGGAAGAGGAAAAUGGUGAUGGGCAAAACGAUAAUAAAGGCGCCGAGAUGGAAGAACUCGAGAAAGAAUACAUGAAUCUUCGUCACCAGGAGCAAAUCUAAGGGGUCAUAAGGACGAAGAUCUUCUUAAAGGUCAAGCAGUGAAUAACCAAAAGGUGUGUUGUUCAAAAUAAUAGCUCUUGUAAUAUCCAUGAAAUAGGUUUUGUUUGUCAAUAUGAAAUUAUUGCUCCUUGUUUAAAGCUUCUUUUUUUGCGAUUCACAUGAGGGUGUCAGUGCAGCGUAUUCUGAUCUAGUGGACUCAUCAAGAGAACUUUGGACUAACUAGCGGAACUACAAGAAGUAUGGCUGUCAAAAGCUUUACUUGAGAAGAACCCGUCCAUUGUUCAAGCAACACAUAGUAAAAUGUUUAUGAGAAGAUAGUAAAUUUCAUGGCUCCAGAGACCAUGGCCGUUUCUCUUAUGCUUCCCGACCUCAAUAAUUUGUUCGAGUUGAAGCAGCAGAAACCAACUUUUGUAGUGUAGUAGCAAUGCAAGUCAGCUGUAUAGUCCUUAGAUCUCAGGCUAAGAAGUUGUAUGCUGUUAAUUUAUUUGAUAUAUUAGUCAAUCUAAUAUCUGUUGUAACUGAUACUUAUGUAAUUUACACAAUUUUUCAAUCGGAGCCGAGUCUUUAAGAAGCAUGAUUUUGUUGUAAAUGACAAUUACUAUUUAAAUUUGACAUUUAUAAGCAGAUAGGAUGUUUUUGCUUUCCUCGGUGCGAAAAUAUUUUCCCCUAGUUCAAAGAAUUGAUUUUUGCCUGGUAUUGCUAAAGAUACCUAUGUCAAUGUCCUUCCCUUGUUUGUUUAGAAUCAUAUUUUUUUUUAAUUAUUUACUGCUAGUAUACAACCAUCUGUUUUUCUUCUCUGAUACGGGAUUGUAUGCAAUCAGUGGCAGGGAAGAAAAAUUCUUAAAUAUCGUUAAUGUUGGAUGUAUUUUAUGCUAUCUUUAUGCAGUAUUUGAUGAUGUUGAACACAUCUGAACUUCGAUAUUUUGAAGGAAGAAAACAUAUUGAAAACAAGGAGGGAAUCCAAAGAUGUCUGUAUCAAGUAAAAUUACAAACUCAUGGAUGGCAUGUGGACUACUGUCGCUUCUUUUUCCGGGAGAUGGAGGACCGAACUACUAGAGCAAGCGAGAAAAAUAAGCCGGCAGCUGUGAUGAGCACCUUCCAGCCUCUGAGGCCGCAAUUGUUACUGGCAUCCCUCGUCCUUCCAAUUGUGUAAUCAGAGACGGACUUGGAAGUGUUUGGAUGAAGUAUAAUUCAUGCAAUACAACAUCACAGCAUACCUGUGUCUUCUUCAUUAUUGUCCAUGAUGAGGCGAUUCAACCAU